AGUGAACGCUGGCGGUAGGCCUAACACAUGCAAGUCGAACGGCGGCACAGUAAGAGCUUGCUCUUACGGGUGGCGAGUGGCGGACGGGUGAGGAAUACAUCGGAAUCUACUUUUUCGUGGGGGUUAAGGUAGGGAAACUUACGCUAAUACCGCUUAGGCCCUCCGGUUAAAGCCAGGGGAUCUUCGGCCUUGGGGGGUUUGAUUAGGCGGAGGUCGGAUUAGCUAGUUGGCGGGGUAAAGGCCCACCAAGGCGACGAUCCGUAGCUGGUCUGAGAGGAUGAUCAGCCACACUGGAACUGAGACACGGUCCAGACUCCUACGGGAGGCAGCAGUGGGGAAUAUUGGACAAUGGGCGCAAGCCUGAUCCAGCCAUACCGCGUGGGUGAAGAAGGCCUUCGGGUUGUAAAGCCCUUUUGUUGGGAAAGAAAAGCAGCAGGUUAAUACCCCGCUGUUCUGACGGUACCCAAAGAAUAAGCACCGGCUAACUUCGUG
rnacentral:rRNA from 1 species